rnacentral:rRNA from 1 species
GUGCCAGCAGCCGCGGUAAUACGAGGGGUGCAAGCGUUAAUCGGAUUUACUGGGCGUAAAGCGCGCGUAGGCGGCUUGUUAAGUCGGAUGUGAAAGCCCUGGGCUCAACCUAGGAACUGCAUUCGAUACUGGCGAGCUAGAGUACGAUAGAGGGUGGUAGAAUUCCUAGUGUAGCGGUGAAAUGCGUAGAUAUUAGGAGGAAUACCAGUGGCGAAGGCGGCCACCUGGAUCGAUACUGACGCUGAAGUGCGAAAGCGUGGGGAGCAAACAGGAUUAGAUACCCGUGUAGUCC